CGCUGGGUCCUGGCUGGAGGGGCGCGCACCUACCGGCCGCCCCCGACCCGACCCCGAAUGCAAACUGCGGACUUGCUGCUCAGCGCCCGGAGGCCUGGCGGGAAGCGCAGGGGCCAAUGCUCCUGGGAUCCAGAGUUUUCUAGAAUUGAGUUUGGGGUCGGGGCCCCAGUUCCUUGACUUGGGCGGCCCCUGGAUCCGCGAGUGUCAGAGCCGGGGCCCCGGGUCAAAGCCAGGUCAGGGGGCUCCCACUUUGCACCCCGUUCCCUGGACUCCUGUGUCCCUCCUGGUGCGGGUGCCCCGGGCGCCCUGCACCUGGGGACGGCUCUGCCCACCGGGCGCCCUGCACCUGGGGACGGCCGUGCCCACCGGGCGCCCUGCACUUGGGGACGGCUCUGCCCACCGGGCGCCCUGCACCUGGGGACGGCUCUGCCCACCGGGCGCCCUGCACCUGGGGACGGCUCUGCCCACCGGGCGCCCUGCACCUGGGGACGGCUCUGCCCACCGGGCGCCCUGCACCUGGGGACGGCUCUGCCCACCGGGCGCCCUGCACCUGGGGACGGCUCUGCCCACCGGGCGCCCUGCACCUGGGGACCGCUCUGCCCACCGGGCGCCCUGCACCUGGGACGGCUGUGCCCACCGGGCGCCCUGCACCUGGGGACGGCUCUGCCCACCGGGCUCCCUGCACCUGGGACAGCCGUGCCCACCGGGCGCCCUGCACCUGGGGACGGCUCUGCCCACCGGGCGCCCUGCACCUGGGGACGGCUCUGCCCACCGGGCGCCCUGCACCUGGGACGGCCGUGCCCACCGGGCGCCCUGCACCUGGGGACGGCUCUGCCCACCGGGCGCCCUGCACCUGGGACGGCCGUGCCCACCGGGCGCCCUGCACCUGGGGACGGCUCUGCCCACCGGGCUCCCUGCACCUGGGACGGCCGUGCCCACCGGGCGCCCUGCACCUGGGGACGGCUCUGCCCACCGGGCACCCUGCACCUGGGGACGGCUCUGCCCACCGGGCGCCCUGCACCUGGGACGGCCAUGCCCACCGGGCGCCCUGCACCUGGGGACGGCUCUGCCCACCGGGCGCCCUGCACCUGGGGACGGCCGUGCCCACCGGGCGCCCUGCACCUGGGGACGGCUCUGCCCACCGGGCGCCCUGCACCUGGGGACGGCUCUGCCCACCGGGCGCCCUGCACCUGGGACGGCCGUGCCCACCGGGCGCCCUGCACCUGGGGACGGCUCUGCCCACCGGGCGCCCUGCACCUGGGGACGGCCGUGCCCACCGGGCGCCCUGCACCUGGGGACGGCUCUGCCCACCGGGCGCCCUGCACCUGGGGACGGCUCUGCCCACCGGGCGCCCUGCACCUGGGGACGGCUCUGCCCACCGGGCGCCCUGCACCUGGGGACGGCUCUGCUCACCGGGCGCCCUGCACCUGGGGACGGCUCUGCCCACCGGGUCGCCAGCAC
rnacentral:lncRNA from 12 species